rnacentral:rRNA from 1 species
GACGUAGGGCGCGAGCGUUGUCCGGAUUUAUUGGGCGUAAAGAGCUCGUAGGCGGCUUGUUGCGUCGACUGUGAAAACCUGCGGCUCAACCGUGUGGUCUGCAGUCGAUACGGGCAGGCUGGAGUUCGGUAGGGGAGACUGGAAUUCCCGGUGUAGCGGUGAAAUGUGUAGAGAUCGGGAGGAACACCGGUGGCGAAGGCGGGUCUCUGGGCAAUUCCUGACGCUGAGGCGCGAAAGCGUGGGGAGCAAACGGG